UAUCUCUCCGUACGGGGAAGGAUGAGAAGCUUCGACUAAGGUUCGAUUCGAGCGCAGCGAGAAAGCGUUGCCGUAGGCAACGACCCGAAG
rnacentral:sRNA from 1 species